rnacentral:rRNA from 1 species
CCUACGGGUGGCAGCAGUGAGGAAUAUUGGUCAAUGGACGAGAGUCUGAACCAGCCAAGUAGCGUGAAGGAUGACUGCCCUAUGGGUUGUAAACUUCUUUUAUAUGGGAAUAAAAUGUUCCACGUGUGGGAUUUUGUAUGUACCAUAUGAAUAAGGAUCGGCUAACUCCGUGCCAGCAGCCGCGGUAAUACGGAGGAUCCGAGCGUUAUCCGGAUUUAUUGGGUUUAAAGGGAGCGUAGGUGGAUUGUUAAGUCAGUUGUGAAAGUUCGCGGCUCAACCGUAAAAUUGCAGUUGAAACUGGCAGUCGUGAGUACAGUAGAGGUGGGCGGAAGUCGUGGUGUAGCGGUGAAAUGCUUAGAUAUCACGAAGAACUCCGAUGGCGAAGGCAGCUCACUGGACUGCAACUGACACUGAGGCUCGAAAGUGUGGGUAUCAAACAGGAUUAGAUACCCUAGUAGUC